GCCACAAGAGGUCUGCAGUGAAGGUCCCAAAGUCCCAGACAAGUCCCCUCUUGUUGCCCAGGCUGGAGUGCAGCAGCAUGAUUACAGCUCACAUCAGCCUCGACCUCCCGGGCUCAAGCUAUCCUCCUACCUCAGCCUCCCAAGUAGCUGGGACUAUAGGUUCAAGUGAUUCUCCUGCCUCAGCUUCCCAAGUAGCUGGGACUACAGGCGUGUGCCACCACGACCAGGAUCUUUCUGCUGAUGCAGCUGUUAAGAGUGUUUCAUAAACUGUGACAACACUAAGCAAAAUCAUAGAAGGAAACUCUAUGGACAAUUUCAGAUGGAGAAGAAGAAAGGACUGGAAGUUCAAUUUGGCCAUGACAAUUAGACUUGAAGAAGCUGAGUGAGAAGGCCAUGCAGAUAUCUUGGAGAAGUGCAUUCCAGGCAGAGGAAAAGCCAGUGCAGAGACACUGAAGCAGGGCAUGACUGAUGUGUAUAAGGAGCAUCAUAUACAUGAUCAUCUACAGUCCACUGAGGAGAAUAGCAGACGAGAGGCCAGGUGCAGUGCAUGUAAUCCCAGCACUUUGGGAGACUGAGAUGGGAAGAUCGCUUGAGGCCAGGAGUGCAAGACCAGCCUGGGCAACACAGCAAGACCUUGAUUCUACUAAAAAAAAAAAAGGAUCCUUCAACUUCAACAAUAAUAACACAAGGGAAGUGAAGAAAAACACUUUCUAAGGAAAUCUCUCUCUGAGCUACCAUCCUGCUAGGGAGAGCCUGAAAGCAGAAUGCUGACUUGACUAGCUCUGGUCAAUGAAAGAAAUCACCAGUGGAAAGGCUACCAGGGGGCUUUCUCAAAAGAGAG
rnacentral:lncRNA from 10 species